UACGUAGGGUGCAAGCGUUGUCCGGAAUUAUUGGGCGUAAAGAGCUCGUAGGCGGUCUGUCACGUCGGCUGUGAAAUCCCGAGGCUCAACCUCGGGUCUGCAGUCGAUACGGGCAAACUAGAGUAUUGCAGGGGAGACUGGAAUUCCUGGUGUAGCGGUGAAAUGCGCAGAUAUCAGGAGGAACACCGGUGGCGAAGGCGGGUCUCUGGGCAAUAACUGACGCUGAGGCACGAAAGCGUGGGUAGCAAACAGG
rnacentral:rRNA from 1 species